rnacentral:sRNA from 1 species
CGGUGCGCCGGGGAACCGAGAACUAUUGGGGUGAAUCGCCCGAGGGCCUGACGGCCCGGGGCGUAGGACAGACUUCCGUGUCCGAAUCCGUCAGCUAACCCGGUCGGUGUCGCAGGAAGAAA